GAUGAACGCUGGCGGCGUGCCUAAUACAUGCAAGUCGAGCGAACAGACGAGGAGCUUGCUCCUCUGACGUUAGCGGCGGACGGGUGAGUAACACGUGGAUAACCUACCUAUAAGACUGGGAUAACUUCGGGAAACCGGAGCUAAUACCGGAUAAUAUCUUGAACCGCAUGGUUCAAUAGUGAAAGACGGUUUUGCGGUCACUUAUCGAUGGAUCCCCGCCGCAUUAGCUAGUUGGUAAGGUAACGGCUUACCAAGGCAACGAUGCGUAGCCGACCUGAGAGGGGGGUCGGCCACACUGGAACUGGAACACGGUCCAGACUCCUAAGGGAGGCAGCAGUAGGGAAUCUUCCGCAAUGGGCGAAAGCCUGACGGAGCAACGCCGCGUGAGUGAUGAAGGUCUUCGGAUCGUAAAACUCUGUUAUUAGGGAAGAACAAAUGUGUAAGUAACUAUGCACGGCUUGACGGUACCUAAUCAGAAAGCCACGGCUAACUACGUG
rnacentral:rRNA from 1 species